CGCCGCGGUAAUACGUAGGGGGCGAGCGUUGUCCGGAAUUACUGGGCGUAAAGGGCGCGUAGGCGGUCUAAUAAGUCAGAUGUGAAACCCCCGGGCUUAACCCUGGGCUUGCAUUUGAAACUGUUGGACUUGAGGACAGGAGAGGAAAGCGGAAUUCCCAGUGUAGCGGUGAAAUGCGUAGAUAUUGGGAGGAACACCAGUGGCGAAGGCGGCUUUCUGGACUGCACCUGACGCUGAGGCGCGAAAGCCAGGGGAGCGAACGGGAUUAGAUACCCCGGUAGUCCUGGCCGUAAACGAUGGAUACUAGGUGUGGGAGGUAUCGACCCCUUCCGUGCCGGAGCAAACGCAAUAAGUAUCCCGCCUGGGGAGUACGGCCGCAAGGCUGAAACUCAAAGGAAUUGACGGGGGCCCGCACAAGCGGUGGAGCAUGUGGUUUAAUUCGAUGCAACGCGAAGAACCUUACCAGGUCUUGACAUCCCUCUGAAUACUCUAGAGAUAGGGUAGGCUCUUCGGAGACAGAGGAGACAGGAGGUGCAUGGCC
rnacentral:rRNA from 1 species